UCUUCAUAGACAUAAACAGAGAGAAGUAGUUCCGGCUACGAUGUUCUUCCGCAAGACGCAAGCAGUUAUGUUUAUUAACCGCUAGAGCGUCAAAAGUAACCGACUGCAACUUUAAAUGGACGGCUGUUGACAUUUAGUGUGAGUGUAGCACUAUAAAAUCAACGUGAAUAGCAUGGUACAGAUUAUUUAUUCUUUUUAUUCAAACUUAGCUAUCUUGAUAUCAUACAGUAGAAUUCUUCCUAAUCAAAACAAAGAUUGUGUGGAGUUGUUCAGCGGCCUCCCUGAGGUGAAAGGCCGACUGUGUUUGGUUUGAGUGAGAGGACCAGACAAUCAUACGAGCGUUGCGUUUAGAUUUGCAUGGACAUUUUAGAUGGUGGGAGAGUACGACAGGUUAGACGUCCACCUCUUCUCCUAUCAUGUGUCCUGAUCUCAUAAUAUUUAAACCUGUGAAACACUGCACAAGAUGCUAGGGUUAACAUGGAGUGCCAUCACUGAUAUGCCUGCUUGUUUGCCAUGGCUCAUGUGCCUGGAAUGUGUCGCUAAAAUGCAAGGAGGACACAACGGCAUUCCUUAUGGAAUUACAGAAAGAGGCUCCAAGCAAAUAUGCAGUCUUGAGACAGGGUGGAGUACUUAGCGGGUGUUUUUGUUCCAGACUCUUGUACAGAAUCAGAAAUCCAGACGCUAGUUUUUUAUGAGGCCUUUGAGCAGAAACAAAUCUCUUUGCUUUCUUCUGUGCCUUCAAUCCUGAUGUCGGAUUCCACUUUUGCAUAUUCAUAAAUCACUGCCUCAGUGAUUCCCCUCAUGCAGAACUGUCUGUGAUAGUCUGCCUCUCUACCUGUUUCUGGUUCACCUGCUGUUGACAAUCUCUGUAGGUUACAUAUUAACUGGGCUAAAUGAAAAGCUGUAUCUCUUCCUUCGGAAGCAGUCCCGCUCCUUUACCUUAAAACUGGAAGAUGAAGAGAAGAUUUAAAAAGAAGAGUGAAAUAUAUUUAUAUAUUUAAGAGAAACAAGAAGAUUUUAAGUACAGUGUAAUUAUUCAUUCUUUUUCUCCGGUUUUCUUAUUUCAUUCUGUUUAAAAGCUGUAGAUUGCUGUUUAUGAACCGUGAACAGACCUGUGGUGUUCUUAUUUGAAUGCAUUAAAUAAAUGAUUUGAUGUACAGAAUUAACAGAUGAACUAAAGUUUAUUAGUGUGUGUUGUCAUAUAGUGACACUGCCUGUUUUUAGUAACUCACAGAAGUCAAAAACAAUGUACUGUAUUGAUACCAUAGUAUAAUGAUGACAUUUAAGGGUAACACUAUGUUACUUAAUGAUACAACAGCCUGUUUUUGAGGUAUGCAAAGGUCUCUGCAUAAAUACAAUAAUGUCAUCCAUGAGAUAAGCUUGUCACACGCAAGCCUAAAUAUACUUCAAGUGUGAGCAGCUCAUAACAAUAAAACAAUUACCAGACAUCAGUAU